rnacentral:lncRNA from 1 species
CUGCCCCGCCCCUGGCGCGGGGCAAGGCGCGGUUUCCAUUCAUCCGCUGCCCCGCGCUUUCAGGUCCUGCAGGGCGCCUCACUGCCUUUAGUGACUGGAGGCGGUCCGGGUGGACAGACUUUACAGAAAGCCACAUUCCGUCUAGGUGCCAAAUACUGCGUGUCAAACAGUCCCAAUCCCUCAGUGAGUCGGGGAGAUGAGAAACAAAGGCUUGGGGGAGUCCAGUCGUCUGAGGUCACACUGCUGGAAUGAGUCUUUUUGACAGCAGCCUCUUCAAAUCAGGCUGACAUUAGAAAAACAGUGCUAGAAGAGGCGGGAGGAGGAGGUGAGGAGGAGGAAGAGGAAAAAAGGGUGAGGAGGAGGAGUUUCCUUCAACUUGACAGAAGGGAAAAGUUUAAAGAAAUCUUUUUAUCCAGGUUUGUAUCCUAGAAAUAAAGUUCAUAGAUAUCAGGCUAUGAUAUAUUCC